rnacentral:rRNA from 1 species
UAGGGAAUCUUCCACAAUGGACUAAAGUCUGAUGGAGCAACGCCGCGUGAGUGAAGAAGGGUUUCGGCUCGUAAAACUCUGUUGUUAAAGAAGAACAUAUCUGAGAGUAACUGUUCAGGUAUUGACGGUAUUUAACCAGAAAGCCACGGCUAACUACGUGCCAC